rnacentral:pre_miRNA from 1 species
UUUAAGUGUAGUUAUGGGUUUUUAUAUCUAACGUUUGACCCGUUUGUUUUAUGUGAAUUUUUUAGAUUAGUAUUUUUACUAUUAUUAUUAGAUGAUAAAACAUAAACUUCAUGUGAGACUUAUUUUUUUAAAAAAAUUAUAAAUUUUUCAAAUAAGAUGGACGGUCAAACUUGAAUAUAAAAAUACCCAUAACUGCACUUAAA